GGUGGUGCAUGGCCGUUCUUAGUUGGUGGAGUGAUUUGUCUGGUUAAUUCCGAUAACGAACGAGACCUUAACCUGCUAACUAGUUCUCAAUACUCUGUAUUCUGCAACUUCUUAGAGGGACUAUGUAAAUCAAUUACAUGGAAGUUUGAGGCAAUAACAGGUCAGUGAUGCCCUUAUAUGUCCUGGGCUGCACGCGUGCUACACUGAUGCAUACAACAAGUGCCUAGCCAGACAUGGUAUGGCAAUCUCGAAUAUGCAUCGUGAUAGGGAUAGAUCUUUGCAAUU
rnacentral:rRNA from 1 species